GGAAAACUUGAUGACGAUGACAAAGCUGCCUCUGAAUCAAAAACAUCCUACAGUAUAAAUGAUAUACUAGCUGCUCACCAACAAACUGAAAAACAAGGAUUAGCCUUACAGAAAACAAAAGAAGAUGAGAACAAAAAAGUCAGAUACAUGUACAACUCAUAUAUCAAAGACAAGAAAAUCGAUGAUGCAACGAGUACAACAACUGCAAGAAAGAAAGCGAUCAAAAGAAAAUUAUUUGACGAAGAUAAAGGUGAACAAGAUUUCAUAAAUUUAAAGAAAUUACCAAAAACAGACAAAAUGAAAAUGGUGAAGAACUUUAUUGUUAACUCCAACAAAG